rnacentral:rRNA from 1 species
GACGAACGCUGGCGGCGUGCUUAACACAUGCAAGUCGAACGGAAAGGCCCUGCUUUUGUGGGGUGCUCGAGUGGCGAACGGGUGAGUAACACGUGAGUAACCUGCCCUUGACUUUGGGAUAACUUCAGGAAACUGGGGCUAAUACCGGAUAGGAGCUCCUGCUGCAUGGUGGGGGUUGGAAAGUUUCGGCGGUUGGGGAUGGACUUGCGGCUUAUCAGCUUGUUGGUGGGGUAGUGGCUUACCAAGGCUUUGACGGGUAGCCGGCCUGAGAGGGUGACCGGCCACAUUGGGACUGAGAUACGGCCCAGACUCCUACGGGAGGCAGCAGUGGGGAAUAUUGCACAAUGGGCGGAAGCCUGAUGCAGCAACGCCGCGUGCGGGAUGACGGCCUUCGGGUUGUAAACCGCUUUCGCCUGUGACGAAGCGUGAGUGACGGUAAUGGGUAAAGAAGCACCGGCCAACUACGUG